rnacentral:misc_RNA from 1 species
UACGUAGGUGGCGAGCGUUGUCCGGAAUUACUGGGUGUAAAGGGAGCGCAGGCGGGACAUCAAGUUGGAUGUGAAAUACCGAAGCUUAACUUCGGAGCUGCAUCCAAAACUGUUGUUCUUGAGUGGAGUAGAGGCAAGCGGAAUUCCGAGUGUAGCGGUGAAAUGCGUAGAUAUUCGGAGGAACACCAGUGGCGAAGGCGGCUUGCUGGGCUCUAACUGACGCUGAGGCUCGAAAGUGUGGGGAGCAAACAGG